rnacentral:rRNA from 1 species
GAUGAACGCUGGCGGCGUGCUUAACACAUGCCAGUCGAACGAUGAAGCCCAGCUUGCUGGGUGGAUUAGUGGCGAACGGGUGAGUAACACGUGAGUAACCUGCCCUUGACUCUGGGAUAAGCCUGGGAAACUGGGUCUAAUACCGGAUAGGAACGUCCACCGCAUGGUGGGUGUUGGAGAGAUUUAUCGGUCAUGGAUGGACUCGCGGCCUAUCAGCUUGUUGGUGGGGUAAUGGCUCACCAAGGCGACGACGGGUAGCCGGCCUGAGAGGGUGACCGGCCACACUGGGACUGAGACACGGCCCAGACUCCUACGGGAGGCAGCAGUGGGGAAUAUUGCACAAUGGGCGAAAGCCUGAUGCAGCGACGCCGCGUGAGGGAUGACGGCCUUCGGGUUGUAAACCUCUUUCAGUAGGGAAGAAGCGAAAGUGACGGUACCUGCAGAAGAAGCACCGGCUAACUACGUG